UUUGAUCACAAGUAACGAUUACACAGUCAUUAAGAGUAUUUAAGAACAACGAUACAGCCAUUACAAUGUCAAGAUUGCAAAUACUUUUCGUCGGCGUAGCCUAUCUCUUCAAUUGCACAUUGGGAUUAAAGUGUCCCCAUGGAUUUGAGGAAUAUCACCAGUCCUGCUACAUGGUGGACGAAGAUCGUGAGGACUUCUCCAAUGCGUUUCAAAAAUGCCAGGCAAUGAAUAGCGAACUUCUGAAAGUGAACUCCAAUCAAGAGCUGAAUUAUAUUAAACGGCUUGUCGGACGUAGUCCACAAAGGGUUGAUGGAUAUUGGAUCGGUCGAUUUUAUGAUUGGACCCGUGGAAAAUGGUUCGAGAGUGACCCUGCACACUGGCUGAUCCUGAACAGCGACCUCAAUCUGUCUUAUGAACAGCAAUAUAAGCCGCUGGGGUACAUUUGUGAAACUGUGGCUAAAUAA